ensembl:lncRNA
AUGCAUAUGAAUACCAGGUCGCAACCUCUCCCCUGUAGAGGCAAUCUGCUGCUGCUGCUAAGUGUCCUUUGGUGGCUGAUUGCAGUUUCAAGGUUUAAGAAAUCCCAUCUUUCAGGAAGCCUGAGGGGAAGAAAGGAAGUACGGGCGAAAUCAUCAGAUUGGCUUCCCGGGUUUGGGAAUCUGAAGCGGGCCCGCAUCUUCCGGCCAACUUCCAUUGAACUUCCCAGCACUCGAAAGGGACCGAAAUGGAGAGCAAAGGGUGUCUGGACUCAUUUAAAGUCAUAUAGGUGUGGCUCGGGUAGGAAAGAGCUAUAAAACGCCUGCCAAUGCAGGAGACGCAAGUUUGAUCCCUGGGUCAGGAAGAUCUCCNNNNNNNNNNNNNNNNNNNNNNNNNNNNNNNNNNNNNNNGGGAAAUUGCAAGGACAAAGGAGCCUGGCUGGCUAGAAUCUGAAGUCAGAAAAGAGCUGGACGUGACUGAGUGAUUAAACAACGACAUGCCUGCUGAAGUGCAUACUGUCCUGUGAGUAAGUGAAAGCCCAGAGAAGUAUGGAACUUAAUCAUUUGUGCUAUAUUAGUACUUCCCACUUUACAAGGUAAAGGUUAUUAAAUGCUACUUCCAGCACCUAUUUCUUUUUCCUCUACAAAAACCUCAUAGUUCUGACCCACAAAUAAUUUUAGGAACAACUAUUAAAAGCUGAGCUUGCAUCUCUUGAUUGCUGCACAGAAUAAAAUUGUAGGCAUAUAUACAGUGUGUGUAUGUAUAUGUGUUUAUAUGCACACACAUACAAACAUAUAUAAUAAAGCAGAAAUAGUGUCUAAUUGUCAGUGCAAACAUGUUAUCAUUUAGUAAACAAAUUUUUUUUAGUAAGGGCUCAGAAAUCCAUAUUGGAUGGUGUUGAUAUGAUAGCACUCAAUCCUGCUCAAUCCUCAAUCCUUGAAAAAUGCAUGUUAAGUUGUUUCAGUCAUCUCCUUCUCUUUGGGACCCCAUUGGCUGUAGCCUACCAGACUCCUCUGUCCAUGGAAUUUUCCAACCAAGAAUACUGGAGUGGGUUGCCAUUCCCUUCUCCAGGGGAUCUUCCUGNNNNNNNNNNNNAACUCAGAUCUCCUACACUGCAAGCAAUUUCUUUACCACCUGAGUCUUUUGGGAAGCCCCUUGAAAAAUGACUCCACCCUUAGUAUUUUGUGUGACACUUGAGGUUACCUAUCUGAAAGUCAGGCUUCCCAAGGUAUUGUAGCCAUUUUCUGUCAUUUGGCAAGAUAUAUUCUCUGACUCUGUGAUGGGCCAUGACGCAUCUGCUACUGUUUGUAGGCCUUAUAUGGUUUGUGUGAUAAAGAGAAUCCCUCACCUGACACUUUGUCCCAUACAAUGCCUAUGGUGUAUUCUGCACACCCAUAGGAUCUCAGAGAGGCAGCGGAUGAGACGGACAAUCUGACGCUGAGUCUCCUGCUCUGCUACUGCUUGGCCUGUGAACUUGGGCAAGCACGUGCUGUUCUCUGUAUACCUCUGUUUCCUUGUAUGUAGAAUAUGGAGUUUGUGCAAGAAGAUUUUAAGGUCUCUCUUAGCUUUAAAAUGUCUAUUAUUAGGCACAGGAAAAAUUUAUUUAUAUAAAAAUAUAUAAAUUUAUAUAUAUUUGUUUAUAUAUUUAUUUAUUUNNNUAAAACAUAAAUAUUUAUUUAAUUCCCAAUAAUGAUCAUUAUGAGUUUUUACUUUGUUUUGGAUACUCUGUUAAGAGCUUUACUUUCAUUAUCUCCGUUAAACUUUACCAUCACUUCCUAGAAAUACAGUUAUCCCCAUUUAACAGAGAAGAAGCAGAGGCUUAGAGCAGGGAGGUCUCUCUAUGAAAGAAAGGUAUGGUUAGCAAGUAGCAGAGGUGAAAUUUAGACCUAGGCCAUCCAAUUCCAGAGCCUGCCAUGCAAGGGCAAUGCCAUUUUGGUUCCAGCUGUUUGGGAAACUAUGCUAAGACCUGUGAGGGGUCAGCAAGACCAAUGUGACAUAGAUUCUGUCCUCCACAGCCUACAGUUGUAUUCAAGCUGAAAGGACAUGCAAGUGAAAGGGUUAAGGGAAAUACCAGACAGCCGGGGCUUUGGUGUCCAAGGAGAGGUGCAGAACAUAGCUAUUAUGGGAGUCCUGAGAAGAGGGCAAGAGGAACUUGGCAUUGCUGAAGGGUCAUCACAAAGCCAAAAGCAUUGUCAGCAUUUAGCAAGAUUUCCAUUGCCUCAUCCAAAGAAAAAGGAGCAAGAGAGAGAUGUUAUAAAAGGAAGAAUAAAUGAAACAACUUUUUAUCAGCUGUUCUCUCAGUCAUCCACGGUGGGGCUGAGCUGAUAGCCCGUGAUAAUCAGGCCAGAGGUGGUUUGCCAGGUAAUUCUGUGCAGCAUAGCUGGUCUUUGAUUUCCUGCCACUUCCCUCCCAGUAGCACUCUCUCAUCACCACUGCCCUUCUUUCUCUGCCUUUCCAAACACCCUGUAUCUCUGCUAGUCUCCAUUAGUGCUUUCAAUUGAAGAUUCUACCACUGCAGGAUUUUAGAACAGACCUGCUGAUAACAUCUUUGUUCUUCUCUUGGAUGUCUGAGUCAUUAGGGUGCAGUGCCUUCAAAUCACCUCUGCUGAUCAGCAUGGCUUGGUCACCUGAUAACAGAGAAGGACUCAGCAGGCAGAGCAGCCAGUAGCUAUGGCUCUUCUCCCCAUCACCUCAACUCUGACACACUCAUCUGUACCCACACUUGUUUAGGAAUGUCACCUUGGAAGAGAUUUAUAAACCAUUUGUUAAGGGUUGACUUGUGUGGAUUUCACCCUCAUGAAAUGCUAAUGGUUUAUACUGGUUGUUGAGAAUGGUGCAGUGCUGUCUAAUAGAACACUCUUCAGUGAUGGGAGUGUUCUGUAUCUGCGCUAUCCAACACAGUAGCCACUAGCCACACAUGGUUAUUUGAAGUCUUAGAAUGUGAGACUUGAAGUGAGACUGACAAAAUGAACUUCAAAUUGAAUUUAAGUAGCCAUGAGUGUCUAGUGGCUACCAUAUAGGAAAAGGCAGUUAUGUCAAAAUAUCCAAAUAUUCAGAACUAACAACCUAGGAGUAUUUAGUCUACUAGUGCUAAUAUCUGUGGGAGAAGGCAUUGGCACCCCACUCCAGUACUCUUGCCUGAAAUAUCCCAUGGAUGGAGGAGCCU